CUUAGUUCUAUGAAUUUGACUUCUUUAGAUAUCUCAUAUAAGUAAGAUAAUGCAGUGUUUCUUUCCUGUGACCGGCCUACCUCACUUAGCAUACUGUCCUCAUGGAUCAUCUAUGUUGUCCUAUUUGAGAAGAUGUUCCCUCAACCAUCAGCUGAGUCUCUGUACAGGAAAUGAAAAGGGCUUUUCAAAGUGCCAAGAAAAUUGAAGACUAACCUCUUGGGAGUUUCCAUUGUGAGUCAGCGGUAAUGAACCCAACUAUAUCCAUGAGGAUGCGGGUUUGAUCCCUGGCCUCAAUCAGUGGGUAAGUAUCCAGCAUUGCCGAGAGCUGUGGUAUAGGAU